CGGGAAUUCCAGGAACUUGAACACAUAGUCAAAAGCGAUAAGAACUGCGGUAUAAAUAAAGCUCCAUUCUAGAAAGACAUCAUAUAUUCAGAAAAUCAUCCGAGAUGAAGUUGUUUGCUAUUCUUUUUGGAAUGCUGACUGUUGUCCUGAUGAUUGCAACUCCUGCUUUAGGAAGAUACAUUCCCGACGGCAUCGUAGACCCUGAUCCGUUUUCUCAAAAUUGUCCACCUCCGAAAUUUUCUCAAAUUGGUUGCAUAAAAAUUGUUCCCUUUAGUGGGCGUUCCUUUUGUAGGUGUUAUAGAAAAGAAUGAACUUAAAAAACGUUGAUCCCAUUGUACACAAAAGUAUCUUUCACUUUUCGCAUAACAGGGCUUAAAACUGCUGCGGUCUAACGGAAAGGCAACCUAAUCUGAGUUUUUUCUUUGAUUGUGUUUUUAUUUAGUGCAAAAUCUGUACAGCAUAAUAAAGUACUUUAACAA